GGCAACUACACCACUCUUCCUCUGCACAGGUUUUGAUAAAUCUCCCCAAAAGUGAUCACAGAAUGUUCCAAAUCUGUACUAAUGUAUUGAAAAUGAAAAACUAAAGUCUUGCAUUGACAUAAGUCACGGUGUUUUUGGCGCCUGAUGUGUGAGAUUCCCCCACGGUGAAGAUCAGUUUCUGAUUGAAGGCUUUCCUCAGCAGACCCAGGACUUCCCUCCCCUCCUUGUUAUCUGGCAGAUAGGACACCGCUCCUCCUCUGUCUUUGUGUCGGCAUUCUUGCCAGUGUCCAUUGCCUUUUUUAUGUUACCUCCAGAGGCAGCAGCUUCACCGAUGUCUUUUAUCUUAAAAAACUGCCGAAGAUUGUCUUCCGC